GUCCCCUUUCAACCCCUGCCAUCCUGUAGGAUGGAAAGGCAAGAGCUCCCAGCACAACAGCUUUGGCCUUACUCGCUCCUGACUUCUGAGACAGACAAAUUACUCUUCUGGAAUCUUUGAAUUUCAGGAGCCAUGACAAGCAGGGAAGUCCUGUUGGUUCCCAGAGACUCCUACCUCCUGUGUCCCAUCACUGGAAAAUUCUGCUCAAGCCCAAGUCCUGCAGGAAGAUCCCAAUUUCCUGCCCAGAACUUACUGAACCAUCUUCUGGACCAUUUCUUUCUUGAUCUUUUACAUGGAGGCUGAUGUGUCUGCCUCUCUCUGGUCUCUCUUCCCUCUCCAUUCUCUCUACCCAAUAGGCUCCUGAGUCGUGCCAACAUGUUCAUGGCUGAACUGUAAGGGCACUGAACCAACUGUCCAAAGGCAGUUGGUGUUGCUACAACACAGGUGACAUCAGAAAACAUUCUAAGGUCUCCAGGACACAAUAGAAUGUCUUGGCAUGAGACCCCCUGAUGUCAUGGGGAACUGACAUUGCCUCCCUGCUAAUCAGAUGUCUUCAUAACUUGCCAGAAGUCAGGUUUCUCAUUCUAGGAAUCUCUCCUGGGACUCAAGAGAAAUGCUUCAGCACCCUUUUAUUCCAUAGCCAGAGAUUGCUCUCUGAUUGUUUGGAAAUGCCUCAGUAUUUCCAUGUGGGAAAGAAAGGAAAAGCUUCAGUUAGAAUGCUGUUCAUAUUUUCAAGGUUAGGCCAAAAGCAAUGAUUAAAAAUGAAUGAAGUUUGUUUACACAGACAGUUUACCUUGCUGAAAGACUUUACACUGAAAGAAAUAACCCUCAUGAUGUGUUUCAGUGGAACUUCUCACUAUUCCUUUAUUUCAGGGAACUUGCUAUGCAAUCAGGAAAUUCAUGAAGUCGUAGAUGGCUUUCAAUCUGACCAGGAUAGCAUCCCUGAGACCACCUAAUAAUGAAACAACUGAAUGUAGACAACAAACCCAUGAAUGUGAGAUGGACAGUAAACCUAUCUUUAACUUGGAGCAUGAGACAUCACGAUGUUUCCUGAUCACUGAGAUUUUGGGGUGAAAACAAGGAGACACCAGGUGAACAUUCCAUCAUUGAGAAGACUUUAAGAAAACUUUUCCUGAUAGAAGGAGCCCUACCUCUUCCUGUCUGGACCUGAGAAAACAGUAGCUGACAUUCUGCUCAGCAGGGAACUGACUUCUUGCACAUUUUACCUUGCUCUGCCCCUCUGGAGUAAUAACCCUGCUCCUCUGACCAGCAAUAUUAUCUUUGUCUACACAGGGGACAAGAUUACCUCAAUACAGGAUUUGGGAAGGAUUUAAUCAGUCUGGAGGAGGCAGGAAGAUCCCGAACACCCUGGAUAUCUACCUUUGCUGGUCUACAACCAGGAACAGUGAUUUUUUUCAUUUGAUGUCUUUCUUCCACAAGACUUAGAAAACAGCUCAAAUGAUUUUUACCUGUGAAGCACUGUGGCAUAUCUUUAGUUCUUCUAGUAUCAGGUCUCUUGAAUAGCUGGGUGAAUCACUAGGGGCCUACAGAAAUCAGCUACAAAGCAAGCAAGAGAAAUAGAAAUCAGAGUUAUUUGGGUUUGUAGGAAGGACACCAAAUGGCUGAAAUGUCUACUGAGGUUGUUCAAUGUUGCUAGUUCAUUUAAAAUUUUCUCUUUCAUGUUACCUAUA